UACGUAGGGCGCAAGCGUUGUCCGGAAUUAUUGGGCGUAAAGAGCUCGUAGGCGGCCUGUUGCGUCCGCUGUGAAAUCCCGGGGCUCAACCCCGGGCCUGCAGUGGAUACGGGCUGGCUAGAGGCAGGCAGGGGAGAACGGAAUUCCUGGUGUAGCGGUGAAAUGCGCAGAUAUCAGGAGGAACACCGGUGGCGAAGGCGGUUCUCUGGGCCUGUACUGACGCUGAGGAGCGAAAGCGUGGGUAGCAAACAGG
rnacentral:rRNA from 1 species